CGGGAGCAGAGCAUCUGAGCGGCCAGGCCUAGGGUUUGGGGCGGCGGCUGUGCGACCGGCGCGCGCGGCACUGCGGGUCUGUGGCACUGCGGCAGCCGGCAGGCAGGAUGCGGGCGGUGGCGCGUGACUGCGUGAGGCCGUGAGCACUGCCGGCCUGCCGCACCUAGCGCCCUGCGCGCCGGCUGCCGCCUGCGGGCUGCGGCCCUGCCCUGGCGCCCUGCGCAGCUGACAACCGAGCAGACAGCAGAGCAGGCGAGCAGGAGCAGCUGCAGCAUCCAAUUCUAGGGAGGCGGUCAGCGCAGCGGGCCAGGCACUUAGCCAUGUACGCACGCAUCCCUCCUAGCUAGCUACCUUUUCAUCGACCAUUAUUAGCUAGCUUAACUAGUUCGUUAACGAAAUUCGUUCUCCCCUUUUCAUUUUAGUAGCUAGACUGAUAACUAGCUGCAUCACAAGCAAGCUAGCAUCAGAGUUCUUCUGAUUUGUGCUUGUUAUUUGACCUUGAGAAAUGUUGAGAUGUGCCUAGGAAGCUACAUAAUCCAUAGUGAUCAGUGUGCAAUAUAAAGAGAUUUCGAACAAUAACAUCAUUUUAUCAAGUCGCGUGAAGUCAAGAAUCAAAUAAAAUUAUUCAAGACGUAGAAAUUGGGACUAAUUUGGAUGAAAAUGAAAACAAUCCAGAAUCACUAGAUGUUGGGACUGCACAAAAUAAUAUGGAAUCAACAGAUACUGGGAUUGUGACAGGUGUUAGUGGAAAUAUGCAAAGCAAUCCCAAUGUUAUGCUCAAUCAAAAUAAUAUUGUUGGUGAUCCUGAACUUCGAAAACGAAUUGAAGAAUUAGAUGUGAACAUUCGAGAUGUUGUUAGAAGAGAGUAUUUAUUGUUAGGCCCUUGUCAACCAAAAGGUCACAUAUUUCCCAAGAAGCAAAUAGGAGAUAGACAAAGGAGUUUUCAAGAAUCAUGGUUCAAAAAGCAUGAAUGGUUGGAAUAUAGUGUUGCUAAGGAUGCAGCCUUUUGCUUUUAUUGUUUCCUUUUCAAGCAACCAUGAAGGGAAAACUUUGGUGUUGAAAGCUACACUAGUGCCAGAGGGUAUAACAAUUGGAAGAAUGCGAUUAAGUCAUUUGAUGUACAUGUGGGUAACAUCAAUAGUGCUCAUAACAAGGAUAGAAGAUGUUGUGAGGAUUUUAAAAAUCAAAGAUAGAGUGUGCCACAUGUAAUAUCACAUGUGAGGAAGAAACAAGAAGAAGAAUAUUUGGGCCGUCUUAUUAUUGUAUUAGGUGUUAUCAGAUUUCUUCUAUUGCAAGGUCUAGCUUUUCGUGGUCAUGAUGAGUGUACUAGCUCAAACAAUAGAGGCAACUUCUUAGAAAUGCUUGAAUGGUACAAAAUGAAGGAUUCAGGUGCUACAAAAUUGUUUGGUAGCACUCCUAAAAAUUGUAUGUUGACUUCACUGGAGAUUCAAAAGAAAAUUUGUGAAGCUUGUGCAGAAGAGACCAAAAAAGCCAUCUUAGCUGAAAUUGGGGAUAUGAAAUUUGCUAUAAUCAUUGAUGAGGCCCGAGACACAUCUAUCAAGGAACAAAUGGCUUUGAUUUUGAGAUUUGUCAACAAUCAAGGUCAGGUGAUUCAGACAUUUCUUAGAAUUGAACAUGUUAUAGAUACAAGCUCAUCUUCACUCAAGCAAGCAUUAGAUGGUAUGCUCUCUAAACAUAACCUCUCUAUAAAAAACUUGCGAGGGCAAGGCUACGAUGGAUAAUCAAACAUGAGAGGGGAAUUCCAUGGGUUGCAAAGAAGGAUAUUGGAUGAGAAUCCCUCUGCUUUUUAUAUUCAUUAUUUUGCUCAUCAAUUACAAUUGGUAGUUGUUUUUGUGGCCAAGUGUUGCUCUUCAGUUAUGGAUUUCUUCAACUAUAUCAAUUUGAUUGUCAACAUAGUUAAUAUUUCUUGUAAGAGACAUGAUCAACUUGCCCAAUGUCACCAUGAUAAUCUUGUUCAAAGGCUAGAGAAUGAUGACAUGUUAAGGGGGAGAGGGAGAAACCAGGAAUCUAAUUUAACAAGAGCUGGGGAUACUAGAUGGGGAUCACACCAUAAAACCUUAUGUCAUUUUCAACUCAUGUGGAGUGUUGUCUUAGAGGUGUUAAAGAAUGUAUGUCAAGAUGCAACUAAUCUAGCACAAAGAACCACAACGACAGGUUUAUUAGAGAAAAUGGAGAGUUUUGAGUUUGUUCUUGUGUUACACCUCAUGAUCAAAGUUUUGGGUAAGACUAAUGCUCUGUUACAAUGCUUGCAAAAGAAAGAUCAAAAUAUUAUCCGUGCCAUAGGAUUGGUUGGUGUCACAAAGAAAAAAUUAAAUGAGAUAAGACACCAUGGUUGGGAUGCUCUUUUGGAAGAGACCAAGGAUUUUUGUCUCAAGCAUAAUAUUGUUGUGCCGGAUAUGUCAGCGGAAAUAGUUAGAAGAGGAUGUUUUAGAAGAGAAUGUUCUAGAGGCCGUAGAGGACAGUUGGUUACUUAUUAUGAGCAUCUUCAUCAUGAAACAUUCAAUGUGGUGUUGGAUCAAAUUAUAGUUGAGUUUAACAAUCAUUUUGCUGAAAGGUCUACUAACUCUUGAGAUGUGUUGCUUGUCUUGAUCCCAGUAAUUCUUUUGCCAAUUAUGAUGAAGAUAAGCUAGUUGAACUUGCUCAAAUUUAUGCUGAUGGCUUCACAGAAUAUGAUUGUGUAGUCCUUAGAGACCAACUUGAUACAUUCAUUACUGAAGCAAGAGAAGAUUCAAGUUUCCUAUCAUGCUGUGAUCUUGGUAAUCUUGCUAUGAAGAUGGUUAAGACAGAUAGACAUACUGUAUUUCCAUUGGUUUAUCGUCUAAUUGAAUUGGUUUUGAUUUUGCCUGUUGCAACUGCAAUGGUAGAAAGAGCAUUUUCAGCAAUGAAAAUCAUCAAGACAGAUUUGCGAAAUAAAAUGGGUGAUGAAUGGUUGAGUCA